rnacentral:lncRNA from 1 species
AACCUGAUACAAAUAAGGCAGUUAACUUGUACACUCAUCGUUUUUAUCGCAUGCUUAAACUGAAGGGAACGUAAUUCAGAUUCAGAUGUGUAUUGCAAAAACAUAGAUUCAUUCUCAGAAGUGCCCGACACUAAAUAUGUCUGAGCGUAUCGAUUGUAGCCAUCUUUCUGAAAUGAGCAGGUGUGAUCACUUGCAACAGCAGGUGUGAUCACUUGCAAGUUGCAACAAACAUCGUGAAAUAACUUAAAACUUGCUUGUACAAGAUACUAUUCAAAAGCAAUAAAGUUUGAAGAUUUUAGCUCAUCAGCUUUGAAAGGAUUCAUAUACAUUUUUUGUGAGAAAGAUCAUGAUUUAGUACAGUUAUUGAUAACAAAACAGAGGGCAAAUGCGCAAUAAAAAAUGUACCAAAUUUACACUAAGAAAUCGAUUAGAGAAGCAGGAAUUUGGUACUCAAAAAGCACAGACAAUAGCCUAUAGGUUAGAUGUGUUGACAAUUAACACAUAAGAUAUAAG